rnacentral:tRNA from 1 species
GAGUUAGAUAACUAUUAGAAAAAGCUUCUAACUUUACUCUAAAGCAGUGAAAAUCUGUUUAUAACUCU